GACGAACGCUGGCGGCGUGCUUAACACAUGCGAGUCGAACGGAAAGGCCCUGCUUUUGUGGGGUGCUCGAGUGGCGAACGGGUGAGUAACACGUGAGUAACCUGCCCUUGACUUUGGGAUAACUUCAGGAAACUGGGGCUAAUACCGGAUAGGAGCUCCUGCUGCAUGGUGGGGGUUGGAAAGUUUCGGCGGUUGGGGAUGGACUCGCGGCUUAUCAGCUUGUUGGUGGGGUAGUGGCUUACCAAGGCUUUGACGGGUAGCCGGCCUGAGAGGGUGACCGGCCACAUUGGGACUGAGAUACGGCCCAGACUCCUACGGGAGGCAGCAGUGGGGAAUAUUGCACGAUGGGCGGAAGCCUGAUGCAGCAACGCCGCGUGCGGGAUGACGGCCUUCGGGUUGUAAACCGCUUUCGCCUGUGACGAAGCGUGAGUGACGGUAAUGGGUAAAGAAGCACCGGCUAACUACGUG
rnacentral:rRNA from 1 species